UCUCUUUCGCUUACCUUGGUUCAUUUCUAUCCCUUAGCUGGACGCCUUGCGACUCUAAAACAGGAAAAUCCUCCAAUUUAUUCCAUCUAUGUUGAUUGCACGAAUCUUCCCGGAGCUAAAUUUGUUCACGCAUCAGUAGACUUGACCAUUGACGAUAUUCUCACACCUAUCUAUAUGCCCAAAAUUGUAUAUUCAUUCUUUGAUCAUGUUGGUGCAGUCAACCAUGAUGGUCAUUCCAUGUCUUUGAUGAGCAUUCAGGUGACAGAGUUAAAGGAUGGCAUCUUCAUUGGAUGGUCAACCAACCAUUUGCUGGUGGAUGGGACGUCAUUUUGGCAUUUCAUCAACACAUGGUCCGAGGUGUUCAAUGCCAAUACAGCGGUAAGGGUGACCUCUCAUCCCUCAAUUCAAUUCGUUUUUGAAUGUUUUAUCCAACUAAAAUGCGAUCCAAAAGAUGCAGACCAGCUGAUACUUGACACCAUGGACCUACCACUAGUCUCUACACACUACACCCAAGGCGAAGGAACGGUCCACCCUAAGGAGCUAGGAUGGCUGGUCCAACACUCACUGAAUGGGUAUAUGAUGUAUCUUAUCAUUUAUGUGAUAUAGUGUCCCAGCACUCUAUUAUUAACUCCUGGGCCAAGGCCUACCAGCGUAGAAACUGCUAAAGUAAUUAGUAUUCUUGCCAAAGCUCCAGAAGGGAAUAGGUUCUUGGAUUAACUGUGAAAGAGUCGAGAUCUGAGCUAUGGCCGCAACAAUGAACUCUCACCAUUUUAUUCAUUACGUCUCUGAAUGUCUUGUCCAACCAAAACACAUUCCACAAGAUUCAGAGCAACGAAUAUACUUGGCACCAUGGGAUCUAUGUCUGGCCUCAUUACACUACAACCAGAAAGGCCUCCUUUUUGCCAAGCCUCCGGCUUUUGAUAGCGAGGGGAAAAUGAAGGACUACUUGCAGAAGCUCAAAGAAUCUCUUUCGCUUACCCUGGUUCAUUUCUAUCCCUUAGCUGGACGCCUUGCGACUCUAAAACAGGAAAAUCCUCCAAUUUAUUCCAUCUAUGUUGAUUGCACGAAUCUUCCCGGAGCUAAAUUUGUUCACGCAUCAGUAGACUUGACCAUUGACGAUAUUCUCACACCUAUCUAUAUGCCCAAAAUUGUAUAUUCAUUCUUUGAUCAUGUUGGUGCAGUCAACCAUGAUGGUCAUUCCAUGUCUUUGAUGAGCAUUCAGGUGACAGAGUUAAAGGAUGGCAUCUUCAUUGGAUGGUCAACCAACCAUUUGCUGGUGGAUGGGACGUCAUUUUGGCAUUUCAUCAACACAUGGUCCGAGGUG
rnacentral:lncRNA from 1 species